UACAUUGAAGUAAAAAAUUACAUUUAGUUUCGACCUAACCUUGUGGAUCUAAUAAAUAAUCCCUGUGU
rnacentral:tRNA from 1 species